GAAUCCGCUAAGGAGUGUGUAACAACUCACCUGCCGAAUGAAUUAGCCCUGAAAAUGGAUGGCGCUGAAGCGGGCAGCCGACACCACGCCGUUUGGACGAUAGUGGCUCCAAAUGAGUAGGAGGGCGUGUGGGUCGUAUCGAAGCGUUCGUGCGAACGGGCGUGGAACGGCCUGCAGUGCAGAUCUUGGUAUUAGUAGCACAUAUUCAAAUGAGAACCUUGAAGGGCGACGCGGGGAAGGGUUCCACGCUAACAUUGAUUGGGCGUGGGUGAGUCGUUCCUAAACCGAGUGGCAAUCGCUAAGUAACGGUGAAAGGGAAGUGGGUUGACAUUCCCACACACGGAUGUGAAGACGGUGACGUACCUCAGGAGUCAUGACGUUGACGGUGGCGCUGGGCAGAGUUGUCUUUUCUGUUUAACCAACCUUACUCGCUCUGUGGAAUCCGAUUGUCGGGAGAAACAGGCUGGUAUGGGCAUAGUGCCGGGGCUUUUCCGGCAUCCAGCUCGCCAACGGCAGCCCUUGAAAAAUGACUUGCUGGCAGCGCUUGCGCUGUGGGAAAAUUUCACGCCGUGACGUACCAACAACCGCAUCAGGUCCCCAAGGUGAACAGCCUCUGCUCAAUAUGACAAAUGCAGGUAAGGGAAGUCGGCA
rnacentral:rRNA from 1 species